CAAAUGCUCCGAUUUACUUCCGAUAAAAAUUCUUCGUAUUGAAUUGUUACAAUUGCACAAACAAUAUGCCUUACGAAUUUGUGUUGUCAACAAUGGGAACACCCAGAUGCAUUGUGGCCAAGUGACAAAUGGGGUUUGGUGUUUUUUUUUUCGGUAAGAUCAAGCGAUCAAAACACACAACAUGGGAAAAAGGGCCAAAUGGAGGAGGGUUGGGCUGCCGAAAGAAUUGCAUUACAUUAUCGUUUGUUUAGUGACUCCACUGCGCGCCAUGGGUUGCCUACGCCGAUGCCGAUGCCGACUCCGACGUGGCACCGAACAGUGUCCUUGCUGCGGCUGAUAAUGUCAUUACCUGGGCAGACGCAGACGCAGACCAAGAGCAAAUGGAAGCCUGCCUGGUCACCGCAUGACGUCACCAGGGCCUGUGUGUGUGUUUUCUUUUUUUUUGGGUCGCGUCGCAAACAUAAAGCGACAAAUUGACGCAAAACAUUUAACACACGGGCAGGACAGGACAGGACCAGAACCAGAACCAGGAUCCCGGACAUGGUCAAACAUGGCCCAUUGCCUUUUGGUGGAGGAGGAGGGGAGCAACGACUACAACGUUGGCGGCGGUCCUCUAUGAGGCAUGGCAUGGAAAAAAUUCUUUUGAAUUACGUCCGUUGCAGCAGCAGCAGCACCACCACUACCACACACAUGUGUGUGUGUGUCAGCCCAUGGCUAUGCGCAAAAAAGGACAUCUCCGCCGUCGGCGGUGGUGCCGUGUUGGUGGCCAGGCAGCAGUGGCAGCGGCAGCAGCGUCGUCGGCCAGCGUUGAGCAAUAUUUAUAAACUGAAGUCGGGCAGGAGUAGGAGCAGCAGCAGCAGCAGGAGGACGAGAGAGGUGUCCCCGCAAGGACACUGGACAAGUGGCAGUAGAAGUGGGCCAUGGCCAAGAGAGGAGACUGGAGGCUGGAGGAGCACAAGACUAAGCUCAUUUAAUGGGAAUGGAUUUGUUUGUUGUUUGUGGCACAGCACGAGCAAGCAGCCCCGCGCAACCACUGGCCAACGGAUCAUCUAAUUGAAUGACAAUAUUAUGCCAAGGCCUAAUUCAAUUUGCAUUCCGCUGGAGGGCAGGCAGGCCGCAACGCAACGCAACGCGUCACAUCGCAUCGCAGUCCCCCCUUCGAAAGCAGUUGUUUAAAUCUUAAACAAACACAGCAAUCAGCAAUUACAGCAGAACGGAUGCACUUGCUGCUGCUGCUGCUGCUGCUGAGGUGCCUGUGCCUCUGCUGGUGGGUUUUCGUCUAGCCAAAUGACUCGGACUGGUACUGGGACUCCUCCCUGGCCCUGUAAUUAGUCCUGGGAUAAAACGAGAUGAGAAACGAGAGGAUGAGGGUUGCUGCCUAAUUACAGGGUAAUCAGGCUUUCAGCCGCUUUGGCUUUGGCGCUACCGUUUUUUUGGGGCAGCUAGAUGAUGAUUGAUUAGUGGCCAUCGCCAUUGCCAUCGCCAUCCUUAAACCCUAAGCCCGAGGACGAAUCUACCUUGCAUCUGUGGAUUGAUGACAUCUGCCUCCAAAGUGCAGGACGCGCGCGUGCCAGCGGCAGCAACAAAGGCAACAAAACGAAUGGCAAAAAGGAAAAAGUGCAAACAAGCAGCUGAAAGCCAAAAAGAGCUCUGAAAUGGAUAUGGAAAACAGCGACAGGCGACAAGCGGCAAGCGGCAAGAGGCAGCGGCAAGCGAGAGGGAAAAAGCAAAUCGAAAACUGAUUUGGAGCGGAAGUUCGUUUGCACCUUUCCCAGCAACAGCAGUUUCCUGUAUUUGCGAUGUCAAGAACAAUAAGAACACGAGGAGACUCCAAUCCAAAUAAGAGCGAGAGCGAGGGAGAGAGGGAGUACGAGUACGAGUACGCACUGUCAAGACAUUAAGAAAUCCAUGAAUCAGUGGAAAAUGUUCUACUACCUUGACGUUUUGGCCUUUGACGCCGUCUAUUGUCUUGAGAAUGGGAAUGCACAACAGAGGAGAGGAGAGGAGAGCAGAGCAGCACCGCCCGUUGGCUUUUGUAUUGCAAAUCAAAAGCUAUAUGCGACUCCAUUCCAUAUAUAGAUUAAGGAUAUGCUUGCCCUGCGUAUGUGUGUAUGCAAAGGAGCAGGCACGGCACGGCACAGUCCCAAGGAGCAGCUGUCGUCGUCGCUUGCUCGCUCCAUCUCCAUCGCCGUCUCUGUAUUUGAUUUGCGAUUUCUGAGGCAAGCGGAAAUGGAAUGACACGCGAGGCACUCCAGCAGCAGCAGCAGCAGCACAGCCACUCCUCACAUUGUUUGGCAGCAGCAGAUUGGCAAAAAUGGAGGCAAAAACCAAACCUAAAAGAGUCCCAAACAGCGGCUUCCUUCCACUUGAGCCAUACGCAUUGUUUGACUGCUGUUCGAAACUAGGGCCAGUGCUUGCCUUUGAAGGGGCGUGCCGCCAAUGGAGGAAGCAUAUGCCUGGAAAUCGGAUAUCGCUCUAAACAAUCCAAAAAAACCAACGAAAAAACAAAACACAAACAUUUCUAGUCCCGAAAGCAGAGUUUUCCAACCCACUGAGCAGCCGCAAUCUGACGAUUCAGCUGCCGCUGCCACUGCCACUGCCGUUGAGGGGAGAGUAGUAGGUGUAAACCUGAGCAACGCGUGUCCUAGGCCUAGACCCAGGCCUAGGCCUAGAGGAUGGCCACUGAUGUCUAAUUAGCGUAUGGGUCGGGUCACAGGUUAAUGAUGUGCGCAUUGCGCACCCCGUGCCUGCGCUUCCGCCUUGGACUGGAUGGACACGACACUACAGCAAUUAUACGAGGCACUUGAGCUUGAACGAGGAAUGCAGCAGAAGCAGCAGCAGCAGAAACAGAAGCAGCAGAAACAGAAGCAAUGUAGCUUCUUCCCAAUCAUUGACCCCUCUGGAGUGGACGGGACGGGACUGGACUGGAAUGGACUCUCUGUUUCGGGUUUUAUGAUGUUGUCGUAAAUGUCAGGUGCUCUGUGCCCCAUUUAAAUUUAUUUCAACAUAAUUAGUUCGUUUCGUUUCUAUGUUUCUGUGUAUGUUGCAGGCAGGCGGGAAGGGUGGCAGGGCAGGGCAGGGAACAAAUGAAAUUUAAUUUGAUUUCCAAACCCAAAACCCCCCCCCCUUCCCCCCACGAAAGAGUGUUCAAAUAGAGCCGGAUUACACACACCCCCCCCACCAAAAAUGAAAGCAAAAAUUCGAUUUCCUGAAAUGUUGCGAUGAUAAAUAUUCCGGUGGUGGUGUGGCCGGGGAUUACAUAAACUCGACUCGUAUUCGGGACAAACACCUGCAGACGCAGCUUUGCUGAACGGAAGAACCACUGGGAGCCAGGACUGGACACUGGACACGGGGCACGGGACACGGGACACGGGACGUGCACAAAUAAAAUGCAAAAAUGAUCAUUUCGAGAUAUGCGAAAAACGGGACCUGGACCUAGAGGACGACGCUGCAGGAUACCAGACGGAGGAGGAGUAGGAUAUGGCACCAUCUAUGUGCAUGGUCCUUCAUCCUCCUCGCGUUUCGUGACGAUAGCGCAGAGGAGGGAAUGGGGCUCUGGUCCAUGUCGUUUGCACGCCAUUAUCCUUGCCCCCGGAUGCACAACAAUCAAAAUAAACGGCUGCCAAAUUGACCAUUGACCAAACAUCGUCAGCAGGAGGAAGAGCAGAGCACCAAUGCUGCUCGAUGGAUGACCAGGAAGGAGGAGAACCAAUGCCCACGCCCCCCCACCCGAAGGAGGACAAGCAAUGCCCCCGAUGGAGUAGCACAGAGAACCUCGAUGCCGAUUGGUGGUGGAGGUGGAGGUGGAGAGAGGAGAACUCAAUGCCGAAUGGUGAAGGAUGUGUGGGAGUGGGAGUCAGAGUGGAUGUUCGCACGCGAAUUGGACAAGCGACAUCAUCUUUUGGCACUGUCACGUCCACUCCAUCCACAACUCAAGGUUCAAGCAUCCAGCCAUCAGCAGAGAAAAAGGCGGAACAAACAGGGAACCCACUUGUUUUUGGCGUCCGUCAAAGAACAGAACAGAAUCGAAUCGAAUCAAAUUGGGGGAAACGUCAAAGCGAUUAAAUGGGAGGACAGUCGUAUCCUCUGGAUUAUUUCGUUUGUUCAAGGACUUAAAUGGAAGAGAACUUUAAAGCCUGCAGGAAUAUACGGAUUGGAAAGUGAGCCAAGCAUCUGUGUUCUCCAAUCUCCAAUCUCGAUCUUAUCCCCACUCCCCGUUCAUUGGGUAACAGCUCUCUUUCAUAAUUAACCAGAAAUGUUUGCCACUCGCGCGAGUGCCUCCAACCCCAGCAUCGAUUUGCGCGAUAUUAUUGCAGAAUAAUGAAAUCGCCAAGAGAUUCCAAUUCAAUCUACGCGCCGCGUAGGCCAUUUAUGGAUUGGCAUUGAUUUAAUACCGCGUCGUCGUCGUCGUCGUCGCCGUCGCCGUCGCCAUCUCUUGGCGAUCGAUCGCCUCCAGGUUUUCUGCCAGGCGUCCCCUGAGCCCAAGGCGCAAGGCAUUUUGCACCUACCAGAAACAGAAUCAGAAGAUGCAAGAGGAAGGAGAAGGAGCCAGGCACUCGAAGCAGCGGACUCCAAAGUCCGAAUCUGAUCUGAUUCCCGCCGCCUAUCGGAGCUGGAGAUCAACAGAAGGAGCAGCAGCAGCAGCAGACGCCACCGCGGCGGAGGAUGGAGUUGGAGCUGGAGCUGGAGCUGGAGCUCCACUCGCGAAUGUUUAUUCAAUAAACUCGAUCUUCGAUGUAGAAGCAGCAGCUGGCUGGCUGACUGGCUGGCUGGCUGGCUGGCUGUGCAUUCCAGCACAGAGGAGACCCACUCUCCACACGACAGUGGCCCCCAUUCAAGACAAGCCGCUGGAAUUUCUUGGUGCGUGCUCGGCACAGGUUCGGUCUCGGGUUCAGGUUCAGGUUCAGCUGGUUAGCGCUGUAGCUGGAGCUGGGAGCUUUGGCGUCUGCCAGCUGCGUCUCCUGAUUAUGAUAAUGGGGAGAGACCAGGCCGUACCACUGGUACGGGGCCGGGGCCCGGUUGCUAUAUGAUCGAAUGAUCGAAUGCUUGGCAGCUCCGUUGACUUUCUGAUUAAUGCAAGAAUGCUCCUUGGCGGCGUUCUUGCUUUUUGCUGCCCUGCCCGAUUCUUCUUUCCGACUGCAAUUAAAAGUGCUUACCCUUUUCGCCACGGACGGGGAGCCUCAAAGAAGGUCAAAGCGGGACUUAAGAAAGGAAUUACCAAUACCCGGAUUACCGGAUAGCCAGAUAACCGAUGCCCGAUGCCCGACAUCCACGGGCAUCCCGUGUUCGUUGUGGUGGCCAGAGCACGCAUCAGAUUGAUUCUUGACCGGCUGCCGGUAGUCUCCUGCUGUGUGCCUGAUGCCAGAUGCGGCCUCUUCUUCGCCGUUGCCGUCGCCGUCGCCGUCGUCGUCGGAAGACAAACGACAGACCAGUCGCGGCAGCAGCCGCCUCGUGCCUACCAGUUGUCAUAACGUUCAACACAUAUCUGCCCCGUCGGUGGCGUCGUCGUCGUCGUCGCUACCAUCACUGUGGUCAUCAUCGGUGGUGCCCCCACCAUGUUCCAUGUCCCAUGUCCCAUGUCCCAUGUCCCAGGGCUCUCUGCGCUGCCAUAAAAGGAUUUGUCACGUGCGAGCUUUUGUUAAAAAUUCAACAAUCAUCAUCAUCGGAGGGCAAUCUCCAUUGCAGCAGCAGCAGCAGCAGCGGCGGCAGCAGCGGCUCUCUGCAUUAUGCAUGUCGCAUUGCCAGAGCAGACAUCGUUCGGAGCAUUCCUUCGUUCGAAGGCAGGUCCUGCUCCUCACUGGCCCAUAUGGUAUCCCCACCAUUCACCAUCCAGCAUCCAGCAUCCCCCAUCCACCAUCCACACUGCCAGUUGCAGAUCAUUGAAAUUUAUAAUUAAGUGGAAAUAUGUUGUCUACGAACGAAAGAUUGCAACAAGGAUCUCCAGAUUGAUGCUAAAGAUAUGAAUGCCACAGACAAAAGGCAGCAACAGCAGCAGCAGCAACGGCAGCAGGGGCGGAGGCAGGACCCACAAUUGGAAUAACAAAUGCAUUAGGCAGUGACCAAACAAGGACCUAAUAAUGUCCUCACAGGGGAUGUGCAUUGUGCAUUGUGCAAAGAAUGGGCACCGCACCUCCGUAGGAGCGCUCAUCCACAAUUACCGUUAGACUAAAACACACACAGAGCGAAAGAGAGAAGGAGAGAGAGAGAUAGAGAGAGAGCGAGCGAGCGAAGGACACAAAGAUAGAAGGCAAAUAGAGACAUUGUCCUGCUGCUGAUGGCCAUGGCUAAUUCAUGACUUUGAGGACACUUUGGGCAAACAAUUGAAGUCGAAGUCGAAGAAAUGGGGUGGGGGUGGGGCACACACUCAGGAAUUGAUUAUGCAUGGAGUGUAUGUGUGUGUGUGUGUGUGUGUCUGUCUGUCUGUCCUCAUGUGUGCAUGCCAAUCAACUGGGGAGAAUCAAUCAAAAUGCAAUAGUACGUAGUACGAUUGCCAAUCAAAGCUAAAUCCAAAAGAAGUCAGUGCCGAGGUGGCAACAGCUGCAGCCGAGCUUAAAAGGGAAAGCACUGAGCUGGACACUCUUUUCGAUCAAUGUAAGUAAGCACCACAUCAGGACAAACAGCAGCAGCACGACGACCAGGCAAACAAUCAAAUGUCCAGCCGGGCGUAACGCUCAUUCGGCCCCAAAGGAGUCAGAGGGAAAGGACGGAGGUAGAAGGCAGGAGCCAGCGACAGCGACAGCGUCUAUUUGCCGAGCGUACUUUUUGCAUUUGCCAAGCAAGAGUGUGUGGUGUGGUAUGGUGUGGUAUGGUGUGGUAUGGUGUGGUGUGGUGCGGUGUGUGGUGUCCUUCCUUUUGCACUCUGUUUGAACACGAGCCCAACCGGAGGAUUGCGAGGAUUCCGACGAUUCCGAGGAAUCCGAGGCGUACAUACUUUGCACCUGUGUUUGCACUUAAAUCGAGUUUGAUGUUGUAUUCGGUGCACAUGGGCCGUAGCUGGAGCACAGCACUCACCACAUUCACAAAGUCCUGGAACGUCACAUAGCCGGGACCAGUGGGCGUUUGGGCCUUCUUGGCACGCUCUAGCAGCAGCUCUCGCUUGUUCAUAGGCACUUGGGAGAGGAACUCCGGCGAUGUGAGGGCCAAUAAGAAUUCCGUGACGCAUAUUUCACCAAAACCUUCAGGAUCGAACUGCAAGCAAAAGAAAGAAGGAUUCAGUCUUGGCUAGACCUUGCAGAGGGGUAUCCCUGCCGUAAUUACCAUGUCAAAGAGGAGUUUCCAUUUCUGUGGAGGUAGAAACAAAAGAAAGUACAUGAUUAGUGGGGGGUCUGCUGUAUCAGAACUCUUCAGAACUCACAUCUCUCAGCAGUUCCCUGCGCAGUUCAGCCUCGUCGAAGUCCGAGUUUAGGGAGUUAUCAUUUUGGAGGACUUACAUAUCUCAUUUGCGUGUGCGAUAUGGACCCAAUGGAGGCCAGCG